AUUGAACGCUGGCGGCAUGCCUUACACAUGCAAGUCGAACGGCAGCACGGGAGCAAUCCUGGUGGCGAGUGGCGAACGGGUGAGUAAUAUAUCGGAACGUGCCCAGUCGUGGGGAUAACGUAGCGAAAGCUACGCUAAUACCGCAUACGAUCUAUGGAUGAAAGCGGGGGGAUCGCAAGACCUCGCGCGAUUGGAGCGGCCGAUAUCAGAUUAGGUAGUUGGUGAGGUAAAGGCUCACCAAGCCGACGAUCUGUAGCUGGUCUGAGAGGACGACCAGCCACACUGGGACUGAGACACGGCCCAGACUCCUACGGGAGGCAGCAGUGGGGAAUUUUGGACAAUGGCGCAAGCCUGAUCCAGCAAUGCCGCGUGCAGGAUGAA
rnacentral:rRNA from 1 species